rnacentral:rRNA from 1 species
GAUAGGUUCGGGGUGGAAGCGUGGCAACACGUGGAGCUGACGAAUACUAAUCGAUCGAGGGCUUAACCUA